GUCCUGCCACUCCUCCACUCACCCCUUUGUCUCUCUGUCUGUCCCUCUGUCCAACCCCAGCCUUCUGUGCCCACCAGUGUCACCCCCAUCCCACCCCCACCCAGAGCAGCAGGGGACCCGUGGGGACAAGGGACAGGGGACACUGGCACAGGAAUUCAGGUCUCGUCUCCCCGCUGGGACCCACCAGGGACCGAGGAGUGGCUGAAAUUAUCUCAUCAAAGAGCCGGGAACGGGGCUGGUUCUACCAGAGGAAAGAAAAAAAAACCACCGUUUUUCACCCCAAAACCAGCCCGGCUCAGAUUCAGGCCUGGAGGGUCCCAAAAUGGCUUGUUAAUGGUUUAUUAUUUAAUUUAUAUCCCAAAAUACCUGGGAAUUUUGGGCUACGGGGAACAUCGUCCCGCUGGACCGCGUGGCGGGCAGCUGGGAUUGCCCAUGAAGGGAAACUGUGUGUUUGGGCAAACAGGGAAAUUAAUCCCAGUUAAUUAGUAAAUUGGCUUCAUUACCUCCCA